GAACCAGACUCCUACGGGAGGCAGCAGUGAGGAAUAUUGGUCAAUGGACGAGAGUCUGAACCAGCCAAGUAGCGUGAAGGAUGACUGCCCUAUGGGUUGUAAACUUCUUUUAUAUGGGAAUAAAACAGGGUAUGCAUACCCUCUUGUAUGUACCAUAUGAAUAAGGAUCGGCUAACUCCGUGCCAGCAGCCGCGGUAAUACGGAGGAUGCGAGCGUUAUCCGGAUUUAUUGGGUUUAAAGGGUGCGUAGGCGGGACGGUAAGCCAGCGGUAAAAAUGCGGAGCUCAACUCCGUCGAGCCGUUGAAACUGCCGUUCUUGAGUGAGCGAGAAGUAUGCGGAAUGCGUGGUGUAGCGGUGAAAUGCAUAGAUAUCACGCAGAACUCCGAUUGCGAAGGCAGCAUACCGGCGCCCGACUGACGCUGAAGCACGAAAGCGUGGGUAUCGAACAGGAUUAGAUACCCCUGUAU
rnacentral:rRNA from 1 species